rfam:TPA: Bos taurus chromosome 4, whole genome shotgun sequence.
UGGCUCAGAUGGUAAAGCGUCUGCCUGCAAUGCAGGAGACCUGGGUUUGAUUCCUGG